rnacentral:rRNA from 1 species
GAUGAACGCUGGCGGCGUGCCUAAUACAUGCAAGUCGAGCGAACAGACGAGGAGCUUGCUCCUCUGACGUUAGCGGCGGACGGGUGAGUAACACGUGGAUAACCUACCUAUAAGACUGGGAUAACUUCGGGAAACCGGAGCUAAUACCGGAUAGCAUGUUGAACCGCAUGGUUCAACAGUGAAAGACGGUCUUGCUGUCACUUAUAGAUGGAUCCGCGCCGCAUUAGCUAGUUGGUAAGGUAACGGCUUACCAAGGCAACGAUGCGUAGCCGACCUGAGAGGGUGAUCGGCCACACUGGAACUGAGACACGGUCCAGACUCCUACGGGAGGCAGCAGUAGGGAAUCUUCCGCAAUGGGCGAAAGCCUGACGGAGCAACGCCGCGUGAGUGAAGAAGGUCUUCGGAUCGUAAAACUCUGUUAUUAGGGAAGAACAAAUGUGUAAGUAACUAUGCACGUCUUGACGGUACCUAAUCAGAAAGCCACGGCUAACUACGUG